UAUCUCAGCUCUGCUUUUAACGCGCUAACAAGCCAAAUUAAUGCACUUAUGUCACAAAACACCCUACAUGCAUUCAUUAAGAACCCAUCUCACCCCAUCCCUCAUGUUGUCAGUGCCUCAUCCCUAAAUCACAUCGUGUUGGCAUUCCAGAGAUUCGAUUUUGGACUGCCUCAGCUGGAGGCUUCAUCAUGGCUUAUAUCCAUCAUGUUAAAUUCAUCAUAAGGGGCAUAGUCCCAUUCAAAGAUGAAAGUUUCAUGCAUGAUGGCACUCUUAAUCAACCAGCUGAUUUCAUUCUGGGAAUGCCUAACCUGAAACUUAGGGACAAUGCUAGUUUUAUCAGUCAGUGAUGUAGACGACAUAAUUUUCGAUUUUAUGGAGUCAGAAGCACAUAAAAGUCUAAAAGCUGAUGCAUUCAUUUUCAACACAUUCGAUUGAGUUUGAAGAAGUGCUAAAUGCCAUUGCAGCCUAUGUACCCCGAGAUUUUUAUUAUAUCCAUUUACCCUGCUUGAGAGGGGCAUACCUGAUGGCAAGUCCAAGGUCAAGCUUAUGGAAGGAGGAUUUAAGCUGUCUAGGGUGGCUUGAUAAAAGAGAACCAGAUUCAAUUGUGCAUGUAAAUUAUGGCUGUGUUACUACAAUAACAAACAAACAGCAGAUAGAAUUUGCCUGGGGUCUCGCAAAUAGCAAGCAUCCAUUUUGACGUCGUGAUUGGUGAAUCCGUAGUUCAUGCCUGAGGAAUUUGAUGAGGAAGUAAAGGACAGAGGAUUGCUGGUGAGUUGGGUACCGCGAGACCCAUCAGUUUUGGGUUUUCCUCUCACAUUGGGAUGGAAUGUAUUUCUGGUGGUAAGCCUCCGAUUUUUGUUGGCUUUUCUUUGCUGAGCAACAAACAAAUUGCAAAUAAAUAA